UAAGGAAUAUUGGUCAAUGGGCGCAAGCCUGAACCAGCUAUGCCGCGUGCAGGAUGAAGGCCUUCAGGUCGUAAACUGCUUUUAUGCGAGAAAAAUAAGCUUCUGCGGAAGUUAAUGAUGUUAUCGCAUGAAUAAGCACCGGCUAACUCCGUGCCAGCAGCCGCGGUAAGACGGAGGGUGCAAGCGUUAUCCGGAUUUACUGGGUUUAAAGGGUACGUAGGCUGUUUUAUAAGUCAGUGGUGAAAACUAGCAGCUCAACUGUUAAAGUGCCAUUGAUACUGUAAAACUUGAGUAUAGUAGAAGUGGGUGGAAUUCUACAUGUAGCGGUGAAAUGCAUAGAUAUGUAGAGGAACACCAAUAACGAAGGUAACUCACUAAGCUAUUACUGACGCUGAGGUACGAAAGCGUGGGGAGCAAACAGGAUUAGAUACCCGCGUAGUCC
rnacentral:rRNA from 1 species